rnacentral:lncRNA from 1 species
CUCCUGUCGUGUGGCAAGCUCGCUGACUACUCACUGUUUAGUUAACAAGGUUGCGGGGAGCCAGAGCCCAACCCGGCAACACAGGGCAGAAGGCUGGAGGGGACACACCCAGGACAGGAUGCGACUCUGUCACAAGGCACCCCAAGCAAGACUCAAACCCCAGACCCCCCGGAGAACAGGACCCAGUCCAACCCACUGCGCUACCACGCCUCCACUUUAGCAACUGCUGCUAAAUCAAUUAAUGAAAAAAUGAGGGAUGGAUUAGACACGAACCCCACAUGGCUGCCAGUGAAGACAGCAAAAAGCACAUCUGCAUUGGACACCAUCUGUGACUCAGCAUCUGUCUGCGAUGACUCGUCAGUCAUGUGUUUGUCAUCCAACCUGU